rnacentral:rRNA from 1 species
AUAGAACGCUGGCGGCAUGCUUUACACAUGCAAGUCGAACGGUAACAGGGUGCUUGCACCGCUGACGAGUGGCGAACGGGUGAGUAAUGCGUCGGAACGUGCCGAGUAGUGGGGGAUAACGCAGCGAAAGUUGUGCUAAUACCGCAUACGUACUGAGGUAGAAAGUGGGGGACCUUCGGGCCUCACGCUAUUCGAGCGGCCGACGUCUGAUUAGCUAGUAGGUGAGGUAAAGGCUCACCUAGGCGACGAUCAGUAGCGGGUUUGAGAGGAUGAUCCGCCACACUGGGACUGAGACACGGCCCAGACUCCUACGGGAGGCAGCAGUGGGGAAUUUUGGACAAUGGGCGCAAGCCUGAUCCAGCCAUGCCGCGUGAGUGAAGAAGGCCUUCGGGUUGUAAAGCUCUUUCGGACGGGAAGAAAUUGGUGGGGCUAAUAUCCCCAUCGGAUGACGGUACCGUAAUAAGAAGCACCGGCUAACUACGUGCCAGCCGCCGCCGUAA